UCCUCACCAUUACAUCUUCUCUGCAUAAUCUUUCGACCGACCAUUUCAUUAACCGAAGCUAAAUCCUGAAUGGCCGAUUCACGCUUUCAUUACAAGGGUUUCACAUGCAGUAAUCAGUCUAUCUGCAAUUCUAAUUGGUGAUGGUGCAGGAUCGUGAUGAUUUUGGUUUGUUUUGAGUGAAAAAACGGCUGUAGAAACCAGCGAGAAGAGCAAGGGUUCAUGUUGAAUGGUAUUGCUGGUGGAGUUUGAAGACGCAGAUCAAUUGCAGAAUGGGUUCAUGUUGAGGGGGAUGAAGAUGACAGUUAACAAAAAAUCUGGGGAUGUUUGGGGUUCGAUGUUGUGCUGUAAUUGGGGAUUUCUGGGUUCGAUUCAAAUCGGUGGGAGUGCCAUCGAUUCAUGGUUGUCAAAUAAGGUUUGCAUUGAAAAGGGUUUUUUCAUUAACAGCAAAACCAUCAGGUUGCAAAUAAGGUGUUCAACAAAAGGCCUGAACUACCAGUUUAGUUCCACCAUGUUUGCAAUGAGUUUGGAUUGUCUAGCGAAUUUGAGAGGAAAUGGAUCUGGAGUGGUCUGAAGAGCAGGAGCUAUAUCAGUGAGAAUUUCUGAUUCCAGUUUACUUUUGAGGAGGCUCUAAAAAUGAAGCCGUAGUGGAUGCGAAGAGCAUAAAAAUUGUAUGAUGGAGAAGGACAUACAUCUUAGGACAGAAGAUGAAAUUGGUGAGUUGUUCGAUAUAAGCUGUAGUGAAGCCGUCUGUUUAUAAUGAUCUCUUAGUUCGGUUAACUAAGGUAAUUUCUUAAUUUGAUCUUUCUUUGCAUUUUGAUUUUGCUGGCAAGGGUCGGUCUCAAGAAUAAAAGAAGUAAUAACGGCAAAUAUCAUGCUUGAGCACUGAAGAAAUAUGGGAUCAAGUCCUAGCAAUAAAAGACCGGGUUUGUUUUUGUCACAAUGGGAUUUCGUUUAAAGGAGACACCUUUUAGAUAUCUUAUGCAGAUGAAUUCAAUGCGAUAUCCACUGCCUAGAGCCUCCACCUUGGGGAUUCGUAUCUAAUUAUUUAGGUGGUCAACACCAAAAAUGUCUUGCCGGUGCAUGUUUCAGUUGCAUACCAGUGAUAUAAUGAUGGAUUCUAAAAAUUGUAAGCAGCGGCAAGUAAUAUUUUGGAGUUUGUGCAUGAUGGCGAUAAGAUUGUUGCAGAAUUGACGGACAUUGGGAGGCAAAUUCUGUAAAUUCGAUUGGUUGUCAAUAUUUUAAUAUAAAGUCUUCAUAAGGAGUCUAAUUAUUUUUCUGAAAGCAUUGUAUUCUGCAGCUUUUGAAGGUGGGAUAAGAGCAAGAUGGGGAACAAGACAGUUUAACAAAGAUGCGCCACUUGAUAAGGAUGAAGAUAUGGCAGCUUAUUUGGUUAUCCACUCAUAACUAUAUUUUUCCUAAACCAAUUGCACCUAAGCAAUGACCACCAAAGAUAUCAUGAACAUUAACAGUAGAAUAAGAAAUUUGGAUUGAAGUUAAAGAGGUUUUUUUGGUUUGGUGAGACAAUCUCAGUGUUCUUCAUUGAAACUGGAGUAGGUGGUGCAAGUUUAAUAGCUCAUAGUUGGUGUUGCCACUCACUUGCAUGCAGUGUCAGAUGGACAUUAAGGUAUUGAUUAUCUGCGUCUGUAUAGAUUCAAAUUUCUACAACAGUACCAUAUACAGGUUCUUAGUGCACUUUCCUGGAUUUCACUGAUGAACUUUUCUGCCUUAAUCUAUUGGCCUUCCGUCAAUUAAUGCAAAAUGAAAGCUUACUCGAGUUUGGCAUGCACCGGCAUCGAUCUUUUAAUUCGGAGCUUUACUAUUUUUCUCAGUAAUCUCCACGUUUUCAAAUAAUUAUUUCUACCAUGGAUUUCCAUCUGCAAUUCUAGAGAUGGAGUUAUUUGGAAUGUAAUAAAGUGGACUACUGUUCUCUAUAUAUGUACUAUAUAGACUUGGGAUUAUGUUGUCGGGAUGAUAUGUGUGCAUAACGCAGGAGAGGAGAUAAGAUGAACUCUUUCUUGCUAUCCCUUUAUGCUUAUGAACCAUUUGAGGUUUAACUGUUCAUUAUAUAACCAGACUUACAUUA